rnacentral:lncRNA from 1 species
AUCCAAAAUCUUUCCCGAGUAAGUCUAUCCUCCCUAGACCAAGCAGAGUUGUGGUCAAUGAUAGUAAUGGUCAGUCGAUUGAGAUCUGCCUUAGUGUGGCCAGGGGAUCUCAAAUGUCGACUAAGAGGGAGGUCUGGCUUGCAUUGGUAGUCGCUACGAUGACCGUUCAUUCGUUUGUGAAACGGCUGUUCUGACUCGCCUACAUACUGUUUACCACAUUUACACUGUAGGAGAUACACAACAUUUGUAGUCUUGCAAUUAACAUUGCAAAAUAUGGUGUAUUCUGUACCAGUGGAGUGACUGUUAAAAGUCUGGGUAUCCAGUAUUUGUUUGCAAGUCAGACAUCGUUUGUUUCCACAACCCUUACAAGAGCCCACUGACGAAGAGCCUGCUUGAGAGGAUAACUCAGCUCUCACCAGCAAGUCUUUAAGGCUUUUGGGCCUGCGGAAAGCCAGUACAGGUGGCUCGGGAAAGAUCUUGGAUAGUUUAGGAUGUUUUUCGAUAUCUUUCCAACUUUCGCGGAUAAGGUGAGACAAGUUGUCAAAUUUUGGAUUGUAAGUCAACACAAAAGGCACCCUCCUGUUGACCUUUUUGACUUUAUAUUGUAAAAGUUCAUCUCGGCUGAUGUUGCUAGCACGAGAAAAACCUUUAUCAAUGUCUUUCCUUUUGUAGCCUCGAUGUUUUAGGUGACCGCGAAGUUCUUGUAGUCGUUUUUUGGCAACAUCGUUGGUGGAGCAAAUCCUUUUUAUUCGUAUGGCCUGGCUGUAGGGAAUGCUCUUGGUGCAAUGUUUAGGGUGACAACUUGAAGGAGACAGAUAUUGAUGUUUGUCUGUGGGCUUGCAAUACAGAUCUGUAAAUAUGUUUCCAUCCCUCACUUGCGUUGUAGUGUCAAGAAAUGUGAUCUUAGAGUCAGAGAUUUCAUAUGUGAAUUUUAUUGAGGGAUGGGCAUCGUUGGCAUGUUGAAUAAACAAAUCUAGUUCUUGUUCAGUAUUAUCCCACUUCAUGUCAAUAUCGUCAAUAAAUCGGAACCAAGAGAGGGGUUGAUAAAGAAAAGAAUUGAGAAUUCUCUGUUCUAAUUUCCCCAUAAAAAUAUUGGCAUAAGACGGGGCCAUCUUUGUUCCCAUUGCUGUUCCAUUAACUUGGAGAAAGUGUUCACCAUUGAAUGUGAAGUUAUUGCAUUUUAAAAACCAAAGUUAGAAGCUGGAUGAGACAUUCAGUUGGUGGAUGUAAGGUGUUACGAGAGUUCCAGACUUCCCUACAGGCUUCAAUACCAUCAUCAUGGGGGAUAUUAGUAUAGAGGGAGGUAACAUCAAGCGAGACAAGGAUCGUUUCAGGUGGGAGAGGGUUCAAAGAUUCCAUUUUUUUAAGAUAAUGUGUUGUGUCUUGUAUAUAUGAUGGUAAAUUUUCUACGUGUGGUCGGAGAUGAAAGUCAAUAAAUUCUGAUAUUUUCUCUGUAGGGUGGUCAUUAUUUAAAGCAUAUAUGUGAACUCUCUGAUGUAAUUAGUCAUAUAACCUAUGUCAUAUUCAACAAAUUUUAGAAUGGUGCAAAGCGUCUUAACUGAUGUUCGGUUUGCCUUUUUUAUUGUAUAAAUUUCAAGAUUUAGUAAAAGUUUAAUCUAUUAAGAAGACUUAAAGAUGAUUCAUUUAACAUCAGAAUCUGACUGACGAAGGAUAUCUGUUAUCCGAAAUAUUUAUAAAUAAUUACAUUUAUAGUUCCUUUUUAUAUCAUUGGUGUUGUUAUGUACACUUUUUAGGCGUUUAUAUAUGUAGGACUCUAAAGUGCGAUGGGGACGCUAAAGUACGAUGGUCACGCUAAAGUGCGAUGGUCUACGCUAAAGCACGAUUCCUCCAUACGCUAAAGUGCGAUGGUCCGCGAAAGUAUAGACGAAAGAAUUGUACCUGGAUUAUGACGUUAACAGUCGUUUAUACAAACCAAAAAUGUAUAUGCCGGAACAUAAAUUAAGAACAUUUGAUUCACAACUUUUAAACCCAAAUGUCCAUGAUUUAAUUUCAGACCUAACCGUGCUCGUCGGCUGAAGCAACUGGUGUUGAUUUAUUUCGGAUGCUGGAAGAGGCUUGUGUCCUGAGUCGACGACCAUUUUACUUUAUGAACCGUGCUAGAGAUAGGUUGAAAAUAGUAUACGGCAUGAGGUAUCGUAGAUCCUGCUUCUAUUGGCAGCGAACGGAUGCACUGAAGUUUUUGUUUACAAUUCCGUUUACAUUGCAGGUGCCGUUAAAAUAUUCUGAUUUUUGAAUAAGUAACGUCAGGAAAAUAAGGUUCAUUGUUUUUCAGGUAAGUUAUAGAAUUGUCGGCUAAAACAUAGUUUGUAGUGCAGGAAAUAUAACAUGUCUUUUUUACGCGGAAAAAGAGAAGGCUCGAGAAUAUCGCUUUCCUCGCGAUUUAAGAAUAAAGCUAACAGCCUUUGUACAAAUAAUGUUACUUGAAUUGUAUGCAGGACAUGUGGUCGGUCUUAUAAAUUAUAGAACGUAUUACUAUAUAAGGCUUACGAUAAAGUCAUAAAGCCUUAAUUGUGUAUCUUAGCAUUCUAGGCUUUUUUCAAUAGACUAUUUUUUUUUUUUUAAAUCAUGUAUUGUUAAUCAGUUUUAACGUGAUCUUAUCAUAUUGUCAUGCAUUUAGCGUGAUAUAAUCAUCGUAUUUAAAACAAACACAUCGACUUAUGCGUGAGAACAUCGUACUUUAGCGUAGACAUCGCACUUUAGGCUGUGACCAUGCACUUUAGAGUACAUCGGACUUUAGAGUGCUACAUAUAUAUAUAUAUAUAU